CCCUGGGACAGUGGCGAGCUGGCUGUGCUUUCCUGGCUAGAGAGAAAGAUGUCAAUGUUUGGAGACUCGAAUUUAAUGUUGGCCCAGAUAUUGCACUGCCCAGAGAGACUUAAUCUGUCAGAGCACUCUUUUGACGUAUCUCAGUCGAGUGCGUGUAGUUUACAGGACGGUGAAGUUUUCCGAGCCGGGACAGCGUGGUCUCCAUCACUAGCUCCGACAUUAGCCGUGUGUUGUGAGUUAGCCCGGUGGCAGAGAACCAGACGGUUUCACCACACGGACACGAGGAAUUCUUCACAUGACAUUAGCACGGACGGAGCGGACGAGGUGACGGCCGAGAACGAGGACGUGUCGCAGGUAGCCGGUGCUACGGGAGUCGGCGCGGGGCUGUCUGGACAUCCUCUACGGCCUGGCUGGCUACAACGCCAUAUUGCGUCUGCAGCGAGAGGUUGCGUUGAGUCGGCGCGCCGUCACCCCAGAGCAUGCUCUGUUUGGACCCCGGAGCGCACCACUUGAGAGUGAUUAAAGCUCAAUGAAGAACAUUUAA